CAUAUGUGAGAUCCAUCAAUCACAAUUCUUUCUUCUUUUACCUUUUCCUCUUAUGAUGAUCACAUUGCUGUUUGCUUUAUUCAUGAUAGUCAUGGAAUGGCUAUGCAAUUUAGUGUCAUUGAAAGACCUAUUCUUCCGAAAGAUUACACUGCAAUUACUUGAAAUUGUUAUCAACUCUAUCAACUAACUAAAGAUACUCCUUAAACAAGAACAGAUGGAGAAGGAAAGUUAGAGAAAUAUAAAUAUGAAGAAAAUCAAAUUCUAGAACCAAAAUAUAAAAUACAGACAGGACCUAUAACUGAAUAAAAAGCAGAAAGAGGACUUACUAAGCAUGAUAAUGAUACAGAUAAGGUUAAUUCAAUAUUUGAACAGACAAAUUUCCCAUUUAUGUAAACAGCAUCAUCGAUCAAUGUGUGGAAACUAACGGUCCCACCCAGAGGGCCUUCGCCUUUCUCUUGGUCUAUCUCUAGAACUGUCAAAAAAG
rnacentral:lncRNA from 1 species